AGCGUAUAUUAAAGUUGUUGCAGUUAAAAGGCUCGUAGUUGAAUUUCGGGAUUAGUACGCUGGUCGUGCCUUCGGUACGUACUGGUGUUACUGAUUUCUACCUUCUGACGAACCAUCAUGUCAUUAAUUUGGUGUGGUGGGGAAUCAGGACUGUUACUUUGAAAAAAUUAGAGUGUUUAAAGCAGGCUCGCGCUUGAAUACAUUAGCAUGGAAUAAUGAAAUAGGACGUUGAUCCUAUUUUGUUGGUUUCUAGGAUUGACGUAAUGAUUAAUAGGGAUAGUUGGGGGCAUUAGUAUUCAAUUGUCAGAGGUGAAAUUCUUGGAUUUAUUGAAGACUAACUACUGCGAAAGCAUUUGCCAAGGAUGUUUUCAUUAAUCAAGAACGAAAGUUAGGGGAUCGAAGACGAUCAGAUACCGUCGUAGUCUUAACCAUAAACUAUGCCGACUAGGGAUCGGAUGAUGUUAUUUUUAAUGACUC
rnacentral:rRNA from 1 species